CUUCGGAGGUACUCGAGUGGCGAACGGGUGAGUAACACGUGGGUAAUCUGCCCUGCACUUCGGGAUAAGCCUGGGAAACUGGGUCUAAUACCGAAUAGGACCAUUUAGCGCAUGCUUUAUGGUGGAAAGCUUUUGCGGUGUGGGAUGGGCCCGCGGCCUAUCAGCUUGUUGGUGGGGUGACGGCCUACCAAGGCGACGACGGGUAGCCGGCCUGAGAGGGUGUCCGGCCACACUGGGACUGAGAUACGGCCCAGACUCCUACGGGAGGCAGCAGUGGGGAAUAUUGCACAAUGGGCGCAAGCCUGAUGCAGCGACGCCGCGUGGGGGAUGACGGCCUUCGGGUUGUAAACCUCUUUCAGCAGGGACGAAGCGCAAGUGACGGUACCUGCAGAAGAAGCACCGGCCAACUACGUGCCAGCAGCCGCGGUAAUACGUAGGGUGCGAGCGUUGUCCGGAAUUACUGGGCGUAAAGAGCUCGUAGGUGGUUUGUCGCGUUGUUCGUGAAAACCGGGGGCUUAACCCUCGGCGUGCGGGCGAUACGGGCAGACUGGAGUACUGCAGGGGAGACUGGAAUUCCUGGUGUAGCGGUGGAAUGCGCAGAUAUCAGGAGGAACACCGGUGGCGAAGGCGGGUCUCUGGGCAGUAACUGACGCUGAGGAGCGAAAGCGUGGGGAGCGAACAGGAUUAGAUACCCUGGUAGUCCACGCCGUAAACGGUGGGUACUAGGUGUGGGUUUCCUUCCUUGGAAUCCGUGCCGUAGCUAACGCAUUAAGUACCCCGCCUGGGGAGUACGGCCGCAAGGCUAAAACUCAAAGGAAUUGACGGGGGCCCGCACAAGCGGCGGAGCAUGUGGAUUAAUUCGAUGCAA
rnacentral:rRNA from 2 species